UAGCGGCGAGUGAGCGGCAGAGCUCAGAUUUGAAAUCGUGCUUUGCGGCACGAGUUGUAGAUUGCAGGUUGGAGUCUGUGUGGAAGGCGGUGUCCAAGUCCCUUGGAACAGGGCGCCCAGGAGGGUGAGAGCCCCGUGGGAUGCCGGCGGAAGCAGUGAGGCCCUUCUGACGAGUCGAGUUGUUUGGGAAUGCAGCUCCAAGCGGGUGGUAAAUUCCAUCUAAGGCUAAAUACUGGCGAGAGACCGAUAGCGAACAAGUACUGUGAAGGAAAGAUGAAAAGCACUUUGAAAAGAGAGUGAAACAGCACGUGAAAUUGUUGAAAGGGAAGGGUAUUGCGCCCGACAUGGGGAUUGCGCACCGCUGCCUCUCGUGGGCGGCGCUCUGGGCUUUCCCUGGGCCAGCAUCGGUUCUUGCUGCAGGAGAAGGGGUUCUGGAACGUGGCUCUUCGGAGUGUUAUAGCCAGGGCCAGAUGCUGCGUGCGGGGACCGAGGACUGCGGCCGUGUAGGUCACGGAUGCUGGCAGAACGGCGCAACACCGCCCGUCUU
rnacentral:rRNA from 1 species